rnacentral:rRNA from 1 species
GACGAACGCUGGCGGCGUGCCUAAUACAUGCAAGUCGAGCGAAUCAAAGGGAGCUUGCUCCCUGAGGUUAGCGGCGGACGGGUGAGUAACACGUGGGCAACCUGCCUAUAAGACUGGGAUAACUUCGGGAAACCGGAGCUAAUACCGGAUAAUUCAUAUCUACUCAUGUAGAUAUACUGAAAGACGGUUUACGCUGUCACUUAUAGAUGGGCCCGCGGCGCAUUAGCUAGUUGGUGGGGUAACGGCUCACCAAGGCGACGAUGCGUAGCCGACCUGAGAGGGUGAUCGGCCACACUGGUACUGAGACACGGCCCAGACUCCUACGGGAGGCAGCAGUAGGGAAUCUUCCGCAAUGGACGAAAGUCUGACGGAGCAACGCCGCGUGAGUGAUGAAGGUUUUCGGAUCGUAAAACUCUGUUGUUAGGGAAGAACAAGUACUAGAGUAACUGCUAGUACCUUGACGGUACCUAACCAGAAAGCCACGGCUAACUACGUGCCAGCCGCCGCAGUAAAAC